AGUAGGCGAGCGCGUACUGUUUACUAUACUGUUGUGAUCACAUGUGCGCGUAAAGCAUUUUUUAUUUUGUAUCCACUUGUAGUGGUUUUUCUUUAAUAACUUUAUUGCAACAAUGGCCCCAGUGAAGGAAGAUGUGAAAACGAAAGGCGGUAAGAAGAAGGAGAUGAUUACGUUGGAACUAAAAAAGGAAAUAAUCAAGAAGCGCGACCGGGGUAUGCGAGUGUCCGACCUCGCAAGAUUUUAUAAGAAGUCUACGUCGACGAUUUGCGGGAUAUUAAAGAAGAAAGAAGAAAUAAUCCGGCUAGAUGCAGCAAAAGGUGUCACGAGAGUAUCAAAACAAAGGCCACCUGCUCUGGAGGAUGUAGAAAAGUUGCUUCUUGUGUGGGUAAACGAGAAGCAUCUAGCAGGAGAUAAUGUUACUGAGAACUUAAUCUGCGAGAAGGCAAAGGCCUUGUACGCCGAUCUCGUAAAAAAUCAGCCGUGCACGUCGACAGAAAACGAACAAGAUUUUAAGGCGAGCAGGGGAUGGUUCGAUAACUUUAAGAGGAGAAGUGGCAUCUAUUGUUUGAAAAACAGAGAGGCAGAGAAUGUAGACGCUGAGGCAGCUGAUGUGUUUGCAGAGGAGUUCGAGAAGCUCAUGAAUUCCGAGUGUUACCUGCCGCAGCAAGUUUUUAACUGUGAUGAAACCGAGCUUUUUUGGAAAAAGAUGCCAAAGAAUAUCCCUCUUACAGCAGAAGAAAAUGCAGUGCCAAGUCACAGGCCCAUGAAUGACCAUCUCUCCCUCUUAUUGUGUGCUAAUGCAAGCGGGGAUUUCAAAGUCAAGCCCCUGCUUGUGUAUAAUUCAGAGAAUCCACAAGCCUUCAAGAAAUGCAAUGUGCAAAAGAGCCAGUUAAACGUAAUGUGGAGGUCCAACCGCAGGGCUUGGGUCACUGGUGUCUUGUUCGUUGAGUGGAUCAAUGAGGUCUUCGGUCCUUCAGUGAAGAGCUACCUUUUAGAAAAGGAUCUGCCACUUAAAGUCCUGCUGAUUUUGGAUAAUGCUCCUGCUCAUCCUCCAGGCCUUGAGGACGAUUUACUGGAGGAAUUUAAGUUCAUUAAGAUCAAGUUCCUUCCUCCCAACACCACUUUACUACUCCAGCCUAUGAAUCAGGAGGUCAUUUCGAACUUUAAAACACUUUACACCAAAGCACUAUUUCAGCGAUGCUUCGAGGUGACCAUAGGAACAAACCUUACCCUAGAAGAGUUUUGGAAAGAUCAUUUCAACAUUGUUAACUGCCUUGAGAUCAUCGAUAAAGCCUGGGAAGGAGUCACCAAUGUAACUCUAAAUUCUGCUUGGAGAAAACUGUGGCCUGAUUGUGUUCUUGAGUCAGAUUUAGACUCUAACCCAGCGUGGUUUGCUCAAGAACAGGAACCGCUAGUUGUCAAUGAAAUUGUGUCCUUGGGGAAGAUAUUGGGACUGGAGGUGAAUGACGGUGACAUUCAAGAGCUGUUGGAGGAACAUGUCCAGGAGCUGACCACAGACGAACUGAUGGAUCUGCAUUGCGAGAACCAGCCUAUAGAAGAGAUCUCGCCCGAGGAGGGGGAGAAAGAAACAGAGGAAUCCCUCCCUUCAAAUGAGAUUAAGGAGAUAUGUCAAAAAUGGGAAAGGCUGCAAGAUUUUGUAGAAAAGCACCACCCGAAUAAGGCUGUAGCUGUGCGAGCAAUGAAUCUGUUUAAUGACAACGCAAUGUCCCAUUUCAACGAAAUCCUUAAAAGAAGGCAAAAUAAACAAUCAUCAGAUUUGUGCUCUGUUGAAAUGGAAGCAAAAUCAAUAACUCAAGAUUCCGUUAAGCCAACAUGUAGCAGUGAUUCCAAUAGUGUUGAUGAAAGUCAACCUACACAAUAACCUCUUCUCUCUUACACCAGCCAUCUUUUUUUUCUAAGGUAAAGUGCAGGUUAAUUUGUUUUCUUUUUACUUUGUAUUUUAUAUAAAUAAUUUUUAUAUUAAUAUUUUUGGGUUGUGGAACGAAUCAUCCGAGUUUUUUGUUAUGGGGAAAUUUGUUUUGAAAUACAAGUAUUUUUAAUUACAAGCACAUUUCCGGAACAAAUUGUGCUCUCAAUUCAAGGUUUUACUGUAUAUUAUUUUAAAAUAAUAAAACUGGAACUGAGUCAUCACUGACGUUUAAGAGCAACCUAAAUUGUGAAACUUAAUUUCAUGCUCAAAGGGGUGUGAUCAAAUGUUCAAAAGUAAAUAUUUAAUAAUGAAAUCACGUGUAUAUAUGUGUGACAAUGUAUAUACUGUGUGAAAAUACAGAAUGAAAGAUUUUAAUUUACUGUUCUGGGGAGAUUGUGAAAGUGAACUGUAAAAUGUUAAACUCCAAAUUGUUUGGAAAGGCUUUUUUUAACCCUUUGCUGAUUGAUGUGCAGCAACAAUGGCUUUUUUAAAACCAUUUCUUAUGUCUUUCCCUCUUUCCAUUGUUUUAACACACCACUGAAUGCUCCAGUCCAGAAAACUGCCAAAACUUCUGCUUUUAUAGAGGUCUACACACCUGCUGAUGGUCAGUUAAUCAAGGGCUGAUAAUUAGCAGCACCUGGCUGCAACCUACCCUCUUAAAUCCUGUGGAAGCAGUAAGGGUUUGACUUGCACAACUAUAAAACAGAGAGGAAGAAGUGGACAUGGCUGAUGGAGAAAUUAAAGAGCAGACAGAAGAUGUUGGGGGAGCCUUGGUUGGCGAAUUAGACUGUAACAAAUUUAUGUUGCUAUUUAUUCAUUCUUCAUACUGAGACACUCUAAUAUGUUAACCUGGAUUACAGCCCGGGCCAAAGGUCACGAUUUAACAAGGUAUUAGCUCAUUGUUUUUCUAUCAUAUGGCACAGGGAUGUUAAAGAACUUGUAUAUAAAUGUGGUCUUUCCCGCAUGCCAAGUGCACAUCGAAUUGUUUGUGAUAGAAGAAAGGAAAGAUACAUAUUUACAGUACAGUUACUGACAGUCUUCACCUGCACCUUCUUCAGAGUUUUUCGGGGACAGAUCCAGUGUAAAAACCCAUGAUGAACAUUUAUAAAGAUGCUUUUAUAUAAUAAACCAUCCUGAAAAAUAGAGCUUGGCAACAAAAACACAGGCCCAACUAGGCAAACUGGUAGAUUAUCUUUAUGGCUGGUUAUUUCCCUGCUUCCAUAUUAUGUGACGGAUUUGACCAGUUAGCGUUUUAGAGAUUUAAGUUUGUUUUUUUUGCAAGCUUGUCUAUAAUGUUGUGUUGAUGUAUGGCAUGGGUGUGCUCUCCUAUGCGUGAAGUGCUGAUGAGAGUAGUUUAUACUGUAAACUUUAAAUUUACAAAUACACCAUCUAGCAAAGAUGGUCUACUUGUUUUAGAAAUUUAUUUUGGCAACUGAAAGGGUCAACAUAAAGGGUCGUAGUAAAAUCUAAAAGAUUCUGAAUGGUAGAUACCGUAAAACUUACCAAUUUUAUUACAUUUUAUUGGACAGUCUUUAAAAUAACUAUUUGCAGAAUACUUUAUUUACAAUUCAUAAAUAAUAAAAAGUUAGAUUUUCAAAAAUCUGCUUAAUACAUUAAAUAUAAUUAAGUUUGUAGUCAGAACUGUUAUUACCAAAUCCUGUGACCGAGACUUUAUUGCCAGCAGGAAGGGAAUUGUUGCUUGAUGCGAGGAACACUAGCAAGACCUAAGGGGUCAAAUUCACAGGAGAGUCAAGCUAGUCUACAUUGUGUUUUCAUAGUUCGGGAAUCAUAGUUUCAUAGUUUCAUGAAUUUUCUUUCAGCAUAUUAGGAGUAGUGACUUCCAGACUUUGGAUUCCAAGAUAGACUUGAUUUCAGAUGGAGUCAUGCUGGGGAUUCCAAAAAAUAUAUAUUGAGGUGAAUGAUAUUAUUAUUCAUACCACAACUCCUUAUGUUUUAUAAUUUUAGUAAACAAAAAUAACCUAUUUAAAUAAACUAUUGGGAUGGGGUACAUACCAGUCGAACGUUUGAACACGUCCUUUAGUAAAUCAAAGGUUUUACUGAUUUUAUUUUUUUUCUACACUGUAAAACAAUGUUCAAUGCAUCAAAAAUGCAAUAAUCUCUUUUUGAACAAGUGACAUUGCAAUGUGUCUGCUACUUAUGCUCUGUAAAGCCUUUAUACCAGCUCUAAUCUCAAGUGCUGUUAAUUGGUUAUUUUAAGGUUUGUUUACAUUUGGUUAUCAGUACCUUCAAUACCAGUUAUCUUGUCAGGACAUCAUCUGGUAGUACUUUGGUUUGUAAGUGCAGAACACAUUUAAAACAUAAUGACAUAAGUGGCAUGUUGUGCCUUUCUUGCCUUGGGUCUCUGCUUGUAUGACAAUAGCACUAUAAUUUUGUCUGUAUUCAGUCCUUUGUACAUAUGCUAUCUAUUUAUCCAUAUGUGGUUAUUCAUUUCAUUACUGAGCAGUAUUUUCCUGCUUUACUAAGGUACUGUAACAUAGUUAUUUUUAGUAGUUUACUGUUUUUGAUCCAUUGCUCUAUCGAUCCGUUUCCCUGAUUUUGAACAUG